UACAGAGGUCUCAAGCGUUGUUCGGAUUCAUUGGGCGUAAAGGGUGCGUAGGCGGUCGGGUAAGUCUGAUGUGAAAUCUCAGAGCUCAACUCUGAAACUGCAUUGGAUACUAUUCGGCUUGAGGUCUGGAGGGGGGACUGGAAUUCUCGGUGUAGCAGUGAAAUGCGUAGAUAUCGAGAGGAACACCAGUGGCGAAGGCGAGUCCCUGGACAGGUCCUGACGCUGAGGCACGAAAGCUAGGGGAGCAAACAGG
rnacentral:rRNA from 1 species